rnacentral:rRNA from 1 species
AUUGAACGCUGGCGGCAGGCCUAACACAUGCAAGUCGAGCGGAUGAGGAAAGCUUGCUUUUCGAUUCAGCGGCGGACGGGUGAGUAAUGCCUAGGAAUCUGCCUGUUAGUGGGGGAUAACUCGGGGAAACUCGGGCUAAUACCGCAUACGUCCUACGGGAGAAAGUGGGGGAUCUUCGGACCUCACGCUAACAGAUGAGCCUAGGUCGGAUUAGCUAGUAGGUGAGGUAAGGGCUCACCUAGGCGACGAUCCGUAACUGGUCUGAGAGGAUGAUCAGUCACACUGGAACUGAGACACGGGCCAGACUCCUACGGGGGGCAGCAGUGGGGAAUAUUGGACAAUGGUCGAAAGCCUGAUCCAGCCAUGCCGCGUGUGUGAAGAAGGUCUUCGGAUUGUAAAGCACUUUAAGUUGGGAGGAAGGGUAUUCACCUAAUACGUGGGUACUUUGACGUUACCAACAGAAUAAGCACCGGCUAACUCUGUGCCAGCAGCCGCCGUAAUAC